AGUAGUUUGAUCAGUGGCUCAGAUUGAACGCUGGCGGAAUGUUUUACACAUGCAAGUCGAACGGCAGCACGGGGCAACCUGGUGGCGAGUGGCGAACGGGUGAGUAAUAUAUCGGAACGUGCCCAAUCGUGGGGGAUAACGUAGCGAAAGUUACGCUAAUACCGCAUACGAUCUACGGAUGAAAGCGGGGGAUCGCAAGACCUCGCGCGAAUGGAGCGGCCGAUAUCAGAUUAGGUAGUUGGUGGGGUAAAGGCUCACCAAGCCAACGAUCUGUAGCUGGUCUGAGAGGACGACCAGCCACACUGGAACUGAGACACGGUCCAGACUCCUACGGGAGGCAGCAGUGGGGAAUUUUGGACAAUGGGCGCAAGCCUGAUCCAGCCAUUCCGCGUGCAGGAUGAAGGCCUUCGGGUUGUAAACUGCUUUUGUACGGAACGAAACGGUCUGCCCUAAUACGGCAGGCUAAUGACGGUACCGUAAGAAUAAGCACCGGCUAACUACGUG
rnacentral:rRNA from 1 species